GUGGGGAAUAUUGGACAAUGGGCGCAAGCCUGAUCCAGCCAUGCCGCGUGAGUGAUGAAGGCCUUAGGGUUGUAAAGCUCUUUUGUCCGGGAAGAUAAUGACUGUACCGGAAGAAUAAGCCCCGGCUAACUUCGUGCCAGCAGCCGCGGUAAUACGAAGGGGGCUAGCGUUGUUCGGAAUCACUGGGCGUAAAGCGCACGUAGGCGGACCAUUAAGUCAGGGGUGAAAGCCUGGAGCUCAACUCCAGAACUGCCUUUGAUACUGAUGGUCUCGAGUUCGGAGGAGGUUGGUGGAACUGCGAGUGUAGAGGUGAAAUUCGUAGAUAUUCGCAAGAACACCAGUGGUGAAGGCGACCAACUGGUCCGAUACUGACGCUGAGGUGCGAAAGCGUGGGGAGCAAACAGGAUUAGAAACCCCGGUAGUCC
rnacentral:rRNA from 1 species